AUAGGGGAGCCGAAGGGAAACCGAGUCUUAACUGGGCGUUAAGUUGCAGGGUAUAGACCCGAAACCCGGUGAUCUAGCCAUGGGCAGGUUGAAGGUUGGGUAACACUAACUGGAGGACCGAACCGACUAAUGUUGAAAAAUUAGCGGAUGACCUGUGGCUGGGGGUGAAAGGCCAAUCAAACCGGGAGAUAGCUGGUUCUCCCCGAAAGCUAUUUAGGUAGCGCCUCGUGAACUCAUCUUCGGGGGUAGAGCACUGUUUCGGCUAGGGGGCCAUCCCGGCUUACCAACCCGAUGCAAACUACGAAUACCGAAGAAUGUUAUCACGGGAGACACACGGCGGGUGCUAACGUCCGUCGUGAAGAGGGAAACAACCCAGACCGCCAGCUAAGGUCCCAAAGUCAUGGUUAAGUGGGAAACGAUGUGGGAAGGCACAGACAGCCAGGAUGUUGGCUUAGAAGCAGCCAUCAUUUAAAGAAAGCGUAAUAGCUCACUGGUCGAGUCGGCCUGCGCGGAAGAUGUAACGGGGCUAAACCAUGCACCGAAGCUGCGGCAGCGACGCUUAUGCGUUGUUGGGUAGGGGAGCGUUCUGUAAGCCGUUGAAGGUGGCCUGUGAGGGUUGCUGGAGGUAUCAGAAGUGCGAAUGCUGACAUAAGUAACGAUAAAGCGGGUGAAAAGCCCGCUCGCCGGAAGACCAAGGGUUCCUGUCCAACGUUAAUCGGGGCAGGGUGAGUCGACCCCUAAGGCGAGGCCGAAAGGCGUAGUCGAUGGGAAACAGGUUAAUAUUCCUGUACUUGGUGUUACUGCGAAGGGGGGACGGAGAAGGCUAUGUUAGCCGGGCGACGGUUGUCCCGGUUUAAGCAUGUAGGCGGAGGUUCCAGGUAAAUCCGGUACCUUUUUAACGCUGAGGUGUGAUGACGAGGCACUACGGUGCUGAAGUAACAAAUGCCCUGCUUCCAGGAAAAGCCUCUAAGCAUCAGGUAACACGAAAUCGUACCCCAAACCGACACAGGUGGUCAGGUAGAGAAUACCAAGGCGCUUGAGAGAACUCGGGUGAAGGAACUAGGCAAAAUGGUGCCGUAACUUCGGGAGAAGGCACGCUGAUAUGUAGGUGAAGCCCCUGCGGGUGGAGCUGAAAUCAGUCGAAGAUACCAGCUGGCUGCAACUGUUUAUUAAAAACACAGCACUGUGCAAACACGAAAGUGGACGUAUACGGUGUGACGCCUGCCCGGUGCCGGAAGGUUAAUUGAUGGGGUUAGCGGCAACGCGAAGCUCUUGAUCGAAGCCCCGGUAAACGGCGGCCGUAACUAUAACGGUCCUAAGGUAGCGAAAUUCCUUGUCGGGUAAGUUCCGACCUGCACGAAUGGCGUAAUGAUGGCCAGGCUGUCUCCACCCGAGACUCAGUGAAAUUGAACUCGCUGUGAAGAUGCAGUGUACCCGCGGCAAGACGGAAAGACCCCGUGAACCUUUACUAUAGCUUGACACUGAACACUGGUCCUUGAUGUGUAGGAUAGGUGGGAGGCUUUGAAGCGUGGACGCCAGUCUGCGUGGAGCCGACCUUGAAAUACCACCCUUUAAUGGCUGGUGUUCUAACGUAGACCCGUAAUCCGGGUUGCGGACAGUGUCUGGUGGGUAGUUUGACUGGGGCGGUCUCCUCCCAAAGAGUAACGGAGGAGCACGAAGGUUAGCUAAUCCUGGUCGGACAUCAGGAGGUUAGUGCAAUGGCAUAAGCUAGCUUGACUGCGAGAGUGACGGCUCGAGCAGGUGCGAAAGCAGGUCAUAGUGAUCCGGUGGUUCUGAAUGGAAGGGCCAUCGCUCAACGGAUAAAAGGUACUCCGGGGAUAACAGGCUGAUACCGCCCAAGAGUUCAUAUCGACGGCGGUGUUUGGCACCUCGAUGUCGGCUCAUCACAUCCUGGGGCUGAAGUAGGUCCCAAGGGUAUGGCUGUUCGCCAUUUAAAGUGGUACGCGAGCUGGGUUUAGAACGUCGUGAGACAGUUCGGUCCCUAUCUGCCGUGGGCGCUGGAGAAUUGAGGGGGGCUGCUCCUAGUACGAGAGGACCGGAGUGGACGCAUCACUGGUGUUCGGGUUGUCAUGCCAAUGGCACUGCCCGGUAGCUAAAUGCGGAAGAGAUAAGUGCUGAAAGCAUCUAAGCACGAAACUUGCCCCGAGAUGAGUUCUCCCUGAGACUAUAAGUCUCCUGAAGGAACGUUGAAGACGACGACGUUGAUAGGUCGGGUGUGUAAGCGCAGCGAUGCGUUGAGCUAACCGAUACUAAUGAACCGUGAGGCUUAACCUUACAACGCCGAAGGUGUUU
rnacentral:rRNA from 1 species